rnacentral:lncRNA from 1 species
UUAUUAACAAUAACUAUCCAACCUAACCCACCUGUCUUAGUACAAUUGGUCAAGAAUUUAAUUAUCAGUAUUCAAAUUUCAAAUUUUAGUUAUUUUAUAUUUUUAGCUAAAUUUAUUUUAAAAAUUAACAAAACUUAUAGCUUAUUAUCUUUCUUCCUAGAAAAAAAAAAUCAGAAUAAUUAUUUUACUAUUCUAGAGGUCACGUAGUAUAUCAAAAAUUUGAACACAGCGCGUGUACUUCAAAAAAUAAAGAUUUGAAUCCUGACUUUUCAAAUUGUACCGUAAUAAACGUUUUGAAGGGGGAAUUUGUAGGAAACUUUGGAGAAAACAAAUGUCUAAUUGAAUUAGAUUUUUCGCUUUAGCUCGGAAAUGUUAUAUUUUAAC